rnacentral:rRNA from 1 species
AUUGAACGCUGGCGGAAUGCUUUACACAUGCAAGUCGAACGGCAGCACGGACUUCGGUCUGGUGGCGAGUGGCGAACGGGUGAGUAAUGUAUCGGAACGUGCCCAGUCGUGGGGGAUAACGUAGUGAAAAUUACGCUAAUACCGCAUACGAUCUAUGGAUGAAAGCGGGGGAUCGCAAGACCUAGCGCGAUUGGAGCGGCCGAUAUCAGAUUAGGUAGUUGGUGGGGUAAAGGCCCACCAAGCCAACGAUCUGUAGCUGGUCUGAGAUGACGACCAGCCACACUGGAACUGAGCCACGGUCCGGACUCCUACGGGAGGCAGCAGUGGGGAAUUUUGGACAAUGGGCGAAAGCCUGAUCCAGCCAUUCCGCGUGCAGGAUGAAGGCCCCCGGGUUGUAAACUGCUUUUGUACAGAACGAAAAGGUUUCUACUAAUACUAGGAGCUCAUGACGGUACUGUAAGAAUAAGCACCGGCUAACUACGUGCCAGCCGCCGCCGUAA